rnacentral:rRNA from 1 species
UGGGGAAUAUUGCACAAUGGGCGCAAGCCUGAUGCAGCCAUGCCGCGUGUGUGAAGAAGGCCUUCGGGUUGUAAAGCACUUUCAGCGAGGAGGAAGGUGGUGAACUUAAUACGUUCAUCAAUUGACGUUACUCGCAGAAGAAGCACCGGCUAACUCCGUGCCAGCAGCCGCGGUAAUACGGAGGGUGCAAGCGUUAAUCGGAAUUACUGGGCGUAAAGCGCACGCAGGCGGUUUGUUAAGUCAGAUGUGAAAUCCCCCGGGCUCAACCUGGGAACUGCAUUUGAAACCGGCAAGCUAGAGUCUCGUAGAGGGGGGUAGAAUUCCGGGUGUAGCGGUGAAAUGCGUAGAGAUCUGGAGGAAUACCGGUGGCGAAGGCGGCCCCCCUGGACGAAGACUGACGCUCAGGUGCGAAAGCGUGGGGAGCAAACAGAUUAGAUACCCUGGUAGUCCACGCUGUAAACGAUGUCGAUUUUGGAGGUUGUG